rnacentral:pre_miRNA from 1 species
CAGGUACUCCCUCCGUUCCGAAUUACUUGUCUUGGAUUUGUCUAGAUACGGAUGUAUCUAGACUCAUUUUAGUGCUAGAUACCUCCGUAUCUAGACAAAUCUAAGACAAGUAAUUCGGAACGGAGAGAGUAGUAU